CCAAACUUGGUCAUUUAGAGGAAGUAAAAGUCGUAACAAGGUCUCCGUUGGUGAACCAGCGGAGGGAUCAUUACCGAGUUAUUCAACUCCCAAACCCACUGUGAACCUUACCUAAACGUUGCUUCGGCGGGACAGCCCCGGGCCCCCGCGCCCGGAACCAGGCGCCCGCCGGAGGACCCCAAACUCUUCUGUAUUGUCUAGCGGCAUUGCUCUGAGUGGCCCCUUAGCGGGCGAAAAACAAAAUGAAUCAAAACUUUCAACAACGGAUCUCUUGGUUCUGGCAUCGAUGAAGAACGCAGC
rnacentral:misc_RNA from 1 species